UACGAAGGGGGCUAGCGUUGUUCGGAAUUACUGGGCGUAAAGGGCGCGUAGGCGGCUGUCCAAGUCAGAUGUGAAAGCCCCGGGCUUAACCUGGGAGUUGCAUUUGAGACUGGGCGGCUUGAGUUUCGGAGAGGUGGGUGGAAUUCCCAGUGUAGAGGUGAAAUCCGUAGAUAUUGGGAGGAAUACCGAUGGCGAAGGCAGCUUUCUGGUUCGUAACUGACACUGAGAUUCGAAAGCGUGGGUAGCAAACAGG
rnacentral:rRNA from 1 species